GACGAACGCUGGCGGCGUGCUUAACACAUGCAAGUCGAACGAAGAGCGAUGGAAGCUUGCUUCUAUCAAUCUUAGUGGCGAACGGGUGAGUAACGCGUAAUCAACCUGCCCUUCAGAGGGGGACAACAGUUGGAAACGACUGCUAAUACCGCAUACGGUCUAACCUCGGCAUCGAGGAAAGAUGAAAGGUGGCCUCUAUGUAUAAGCUAUCACUGAAGGAGGGGAUUGCGUCUGAUUAGCUAGUUGGAGGGGUAACGGCCCACCAAGGCGAUGAUCAGUAGCCGGUCUGAGAGGAUGAACGGCCACAUUGGGACUGAGACACGGCCCAGACUCCUACGGGAGGCAGCAGUGGGGAAUCUUCCGCAAUGGACGAAAGUCUGACGGAGCAACGCCGCGUGAGUGAUGACGGCCUUCGGGUUGUAAAGCUCUGUUAAUCGGGACGAAAGGCCUUCUUGCGAAUAGUGAGAAGGAUUGACGGUACCGGAAUAGAAAGCCACGGCUAACUACGU
rnacentral:rRNA from 1 species